GCAAGGUGAGUGGCAGACGGGUGAGUAACGCGUGGGAACCUUCCCUUUGGUACGGAAUAACUUCGGGAAACCGAAGCUAAUACCGUAUAAGUCCUUCGGGAGAAAGAUUUAUCGCCAAAGGAUGGGCCCGCGUUGGAUUAGCUAGUUGGUAGGGUAAAGGCCUACCAAGGCAACGAUCCAUAGCUGGUCUGAGAGGAUGAUCAGCCACACUGGGACUGAGACACGGCCCAGACUCCUACGGGAGGCAGCAGUGGGGAAUAUUGGACAAUGGGCGCAAGCCUGAUCCAGCCAUGCCGCGUGAGUGAAGAAGGCCUUAGGG
rnacentral:rRNA from 1 species